rnacentral:misc_RNA from 1 species
CUGCUGGCUCGUCUUCGGGGCGCCGGCAAACUUGUGCCACUCAGUGCGGCUCGGGGUGCUGUUUGGGUCGAACUCGCGCUGGAUGCCGUGCUGCUUGAGGAAGGCGUGGAAGUCGGAGUCGCGGAAUGUCCCGCCG